rnacentral:rRNA from 1 species
UACGGGGGGGGCAAGCGUUGUUCGGAAUUACUGGGCGUAAAGGGCUUGUAGGUGGCCAACUAAGUCAGACGUGAAAUCCCUCAGCUUAACUGGGGAACUGCGUCUGAUACUGGAUGGCUUGAGUUUGGGAGAGGGAUGCGGAAUCCCAGGUGUAGCGGUGAAAUGCGUAGAUAUCUGGAGGAACACCGGUGGCGAAGGCGGCAUCCUGGACCAAUACUGACACUGAGGAGCGAAAGCCAGGGGAGCAAACGGG